rnacentral:tRNA from 1 species
GCGCCUGUAGCUCAGUGGAUAGAGCAGGUCGGUUCUAACGACUCGGUCGGGGGUUCGAAUCCCUCCAGGCGUA